ensembl:lncRNA
GUCAUGGUGUGUCUAUGAAGAUACUGUGGGAUGCUGCAAAUGUCUGUUUUACGGCCGAUACUCGUAUUUCAGGGCUUCUGAUCUGUUCUGCAAGGUCACAUAAACAUGUCGACACUUGUUUUGUAGCGGUCUGUGCCACUUGUAAAAAGCUAUUGAACUGGAAGCGCAGUCAUGGUGUGUCUAUGAAGAAAUACAGGGAUGCUGCAGAUGUCUGUCUGAUGGCCGAUACUCGUACUUCAGGGCUUCUGAUCUGUUCUGCAAGGUCACAUAAACAUGUCGUCACUUGUUUUGUAGCGGUGUGUGCCACUUGUGAAAUGGUAUUGAACUGGGAGCCCCGUAAUGGUGUGUCUAUGAAGAAACUUUGGGAUGCUGCAGAUGUCUGUUUGACGGCCGAUACUCAUAUUUCAGGACUUCUGAUCUGUUCUACAAGGUCACAUGAUUAUGUAGCAGCUUGUUCUGUAACCGUGUGAGCCUCUUGUAAAAAGCUAUUGAACUGGAAACGCAG